UUACUCCCUGUCUCGGGCGCAUUGUCCCUGUGUAUUUACUCCCUGUCUCGGGCGCAUUGUCCCUGUGUAUUUACUCCCUGUCUCGGGCGCCUUGUCCCUGUGUAUUUACUCCCUGUCUCGGGCGCAUUGUCCCUGUGUAGUGUCUCCCUGUCCCGGUCGCAUUGUCUCUGUGUAGUGUCUCUCUGUCCCGGAAAUAUUGUCCACACAGGGCACAUUGUCCCUGUGUAUUUACUCCCUGUCUCGGGCGCAUUGUCCCUGUGUAUUUACUCCGUGUCUCGGGCGCAUUGUCCCUGUGUAUUUACUCCCUGUCUCGGGCGCAUUGUCCCUGUGUAUUUACUCCCUGUCUCGGGCGCAUUGUCCCUGUGUAGUGUCUCCCUGUCUCGGGCGCAUUGUCCCUGUGUAGUGUCUCCCUGUCCCGGUCGCAUUGUCCCUGUGUAGUGUCUCCCUGUCCCGGUCGCAUUGUCCCUGUGUAGUGUCUCCCUGUCCCGGUCGCAUUGUCCCUGUGUAGUGUCUCUCUGUCCCGGUCGCAUUGUCCCUGUGUAGUGUCUCUCUGUCCCGGUCGCAUUGUCCCUGUGUAGUGUCUCUCUGUCCCGGGCGCAUUGUCUCUGUGUAGUGUCUCUCUGUCCCGGAAAUAUUGUCCACACAGGGCACAUUGUCCCCGUGUAGUGUCUCUCUGUCACGGGCGCAUUGUCCC